GCGAGUGGCCGGGCGGGUCUCGGGGAACUCCUGAGGAAGUUCCUCCCCCAAGUAGGGGCGCGCGACGCCGCGAGGCGUGGGGGGAGACCCCUGGCAACGCACCAGAAACGAGACCUCCCGAUGCCAGAUGAGUUUGAUGCGGUGGGAAGCCGCUGACGAGGCAUCGGGAUUGGGUGGAACGGGCGACCCGCGCGGGAAAGGCAAGAGGCCGUUGAGCCUGCCCCGGCGAGGCCUCAGGCACCGAUUAGACAAAUCCCGCCUAAAACAGAAGGAGGACUACGGGCCACACGC
rnacentral:RNase_P_RNA from 1 species